rnacentral:ncRNA from 1 species
UGAUAUGCCCAGGGACGUCAAGGUCGGCCAGCGAGACGAUGGGAGAUAACCUUCAUCGUCGAUAGUCAGCGGGAAACAGCCCGGAUCACCGGCCAAGGCCCCUAAUUAACCGCUUAUGAUAAAAGUGGGGGCUGCAAAGCCAGCCAGAAGGUUUGCCUAGAAGUAGCCACCCUUUAAAGAAUGCAAGAUAGCUCAUUGCUCGAGCGCAUGAGCAUGAAGAUGAACGGGGCUAAGCGUUCUGCCUAAGAUGUGGGAUGUCAAAAUGCAUCGGUAA